rnacentral:rRNA from 1 species
AUUGAACGCUGGCGGCAUGCUUUACACAUGCAAGUCGAACGGGGUGAGGGGGCAACUCCUCAUUCAGUGGCGAACGGGUGAGUAAUGCAUCGGAACGUGUCCCGUAGUGGGGGAUAACGCCGCGAAAGCGGCGCUACUACCGCAUACGCUCUACGGAGGAAAGCAGGGGACCCGCGAGGGCCUUGUGCUAGGGGGGCGGCCGAUGUCCGAUUAGCUUGUUGGUGGGGUAAUGGCCCACCAAGGCGACGAUCGGUAGCUGGUCUGAGAGGAUGAGCAGCCACACGGGGACUGAGACACGGCCCAGACUCCUACGGGAGGGAGCAGUGGGGAAUGUUGGAGAAUGGGGGCAACCCUGAUCCAGCCGUGCGGCGUGCGGGAAGAAGGCCUUCGGGUUGUAAACCGCUUGUAGCCGGGACGAAAGCUCUACGGAUAACACCCGUGGGGGUUGACGGUACCGGCGGAAUAAGCACCGGCUAACUACGUGCCAGCCGCCGCGGUAACAC